rnacentral:rRNA from 1 species
CGGCAAUGGAGGAAACUCUGACCGAGCAACGCCGCGUGAACGAUGAAGUAUUUCGGUACGUAAAGUUCUUUUAUUAGGGAAGAAUAAAUGAUGGAAAAAUCAUUCUGACGGUACCUAAUGAAUAAGCCCCGGCUAACUAUGUGCCAGCAGCCGCGGUAAUACAUAGGGGGCAAGCGUUAUCCGGAAUUAUUGGGCGUAAAGGGUGCGUAGGCUUUUAAAUAAGUCAGUGGUCUAAGUGCAAUGCUCAACAUUGUGAUGCUAUAAAAACUGUUUAGCUAGAGUAAGAUAGAGGCAAGUGGAAUUCCAUGUGUAGUGGUAAAAUGCGUAAAUAUAUGGAGGAACACCAGUAGCGAAGGCGGCUUGCUGGGUCUUUACUGACGCUGAGGCACGAAAGCGUGGGGAGCAAACAGGAUUAGAUACCCUGGUAGUCCACGCCGUAAACGAUGAGUACUAAACGUUGGGUAAAACCAGUGUUGAAGUUAACACAUUAAGUACUCCGCCUGAGUAGUACGUACGCAAGUAUGAAACUUAAAGGAAUUGACGGGACUCCGCACAAGCGGUGGAUCAUGUUGUUUAAUUCGAAGGUACCCGAAAAACCUCACCAGGUCUUGACAUGUUUCUGCAAAGCGGUAGAAACACAGUGGAGGUUAUCAGUUGCACAGGUGGUGCAUGGUUGUCGUCAGCUCGUGUCGUGAGAUGUUGGGUUAAGUCCCGCAACGAGCGCAACCCUUAUCGUUAGUUGCCAGCACGUAAUGGUGGGGACUUUAGCAAGACUGCCAGUGAUAAAUUGGAGGAAGGUGGGGACGACGUCAAAUCAUCAUGCCCCUUAUGACCUGGGCUACAAACGUGAUACAAUGGCUGUUACAAAGAGUAGCUGAA